AAGCUUGACUGAUGAGUAUUAACUUCUGAGCCUGUGUAGUAAAAGCUGGCUACUAAGCCCACAGGCAAAGCACCAAAUCCUCACCCAUGAUCACUUUCUCAGAAAAACAAAGUCUAUUGGGCAAGGCUUCAAAGGGCAAGGCUUCACGUCUUAAAGGUUCCACAGUCUUCUAAAACAGCACCCUAGUUAAAGACCAGUUCUUCAAACACAUGAAGCUAUGGGAGGAACACUGAGAAACAUUCUCUUCAGAUAACUUGUGAUGCACACCAAAUGAUGCUGGCGGCUCACUGGUCAUCUGUGACUUCAGACUUCUGUCUUCAUGGACCACAUGUCAACCCUCACUGGGCCUAUUGAGGGCCUAAUUUGUCUGGCAGGGGGAGGAAGUCCUCCUCCCCCAGUUAUCUCUAAAGCACUCGUCUCUCAGGGAUCAGCCAGCAAAACAGAACAAACAACAGGUGCAUAAUAAGAGAUUUACCUCAAGGAAUUGGCUAGUGUAGAAUUGGACCUUAUAAUCUUCUCUAACAUUGCCCAGCUGUACUCCUUAGUUAUAGGUAAAAAUAAAACUCCG
ensembl:lncRNA LOC102547360 uncharacterized LOC102547360